GACGAACGCUGGCGGCGUGCUUAACACAUGCAAGCCGAACGGGCCCGCCCCUGUUUUUGGGGGUGGGUUGAGUGGCGAACGGGUGAGUAUCACGUGAGUAACCUGCCCCCUGCUCCUGGAUAACUGCUUGAAAGGGCGGCUAAUACGGGGUGUGCCGGCUGGUCCGCAUGGGCCUGGUCGGGAUAGUUUCAUCUUCGGGUGUUUCGGUGGGGGAUGGGCUCGCGGCCUAUCAGCUUGUUGGUGGGGUGAUGGCCCACCAAGGCGGUGACGGGUAGCCGGCCUGAGAGGGUGGGCGGCCACACUGGGACUGAGACACGGCCCAGACUCCUGCGGGAGGCAGCAGUGGGGGGUAGUGCACAAUGGGCGGAAGCCUGAUGCAGCGACGUCGCGUGAGGGAUGGAGGCCUUCGGGUUGUGAACCUCUUUCUCCGGUGGUGAAGGCCCUGUCCGUUGCGGCGGGGUUGACGGUAGCCGGGUAUGAAGCGCCGGCUAACUACGUG
rnacentral:rRNA from 1 species